UACGUAGGGGGCAAGCGUUGUCCGGAAUUAUUGGGCGUAAAGCGCGCGCAGGCGGUCUGUUAAGUCUGGUGUUUAAUCCCGGGGCUCAACCCCGGUUCGCAUCGGAAACUGGCAGACUUGAGUGCAGGAGAGGAAAGCGGAAUUCCACGUGUAGCGGUGAAAUGCGUAGAGAUGUGGAGGAACACCAGUGGCGAAGGCGGCUUUCUGGACUGUAACUGACGCUGAGGCGCGAAAGCGUGGGGAGCAAACAGG
rnacentral:misc_RNA from 1 species